rnacentral:rRNA from 1 species
UUCCGGUUGAUCCUGCCGGAAGCCAUUGCUAUUGGAGUUCGAUUUAGCCAUGCUAGUUGUACGAGCUUAGACUCGUAGCGGAAAGCUCAGUAACACGUGGCCAAACUACCCUAUAGAUCAGAAUACUCUCGGGAAACUGAGGCUAAUACUGAAUAACGCUCCCCUGCUGGAACUGCAGGGAGCCGGAAACGCUCCGGCGCUAUAGGAUGUGGCUGCGGCCGAUUAGGUAGACGGUGGGGUAACGGCCCACCGUGCCGAUAAUCGGUACGGGUUGUGAGAGCAAGAGCCCGGAGAUGGAUUCUGAGACAAGAAUCCAGGCCCUACGGGGCGCAGCAGGCGCGAAAACUUUACACUGCACGACAGUGCGAUAAGGGAACUCCAAGUGCGAGGGCAUAACGUCCUCGCUUUUGUGUAUCGUAAGGAGGUACACGAAUAAGAGCUGGGCAAGACCGGUGCCAGCCGCCGCGGUAAUACCGGCAGCUCAAGUGAUGGCCAAUUUUAUUGGGCCUAAAGCGUCCGUAGCCGGCCAGACAGGUCCGUCGGGAAAUCUGCUCGCUCAACGAGCAGGCGUCCGACGGAAACCCGCUGGCUUGGGACCAGAAGACUCGAGGGGUACGUCUGGGGUAGGAGUGAAAUCCUGUAAUCCUAGACGGACCACCGAUCGCGAAAGCACCUCGAGAGGAUGGAUCCGACGGUGAGGGACGAAAGCUAGGGUCACGAACCGGAUUAGAUACCCGGGUAGUCCUAGCUGCAAACGAUGCUCGCUAGGUGUGGCACAGGCUACGAGCCUGUGCUAUGCCGUAGGGAAGCCGAGAAGCGAGCCGCCUGGGAAGUACGUCCGCAAGGAUGAAACUUAAAGGAAUUGGCGGGGGAGCACUACAACCGGAGGAGCCUGCGGUUUAAUUGGAUU